CUCAGCUCAAACCCUCACCAUCUUCAUCUUCUCAACUCCAUAUGAAAACCAAACUUCAAUUCACCAUAACUUAUUCGUUUUAGCUCGGUUUUGGUCAAUUCUUGCGGAAACGGAAAGAGGAGAACCAUACCUACUGAUUGAGCCCAAUAAAUCAAGACAAACCGAGAGGCGACGGGAUCGACGGUUUUGGCCUAGGAGUACUCGGCCAAGACUAAUGCUCGUAAAUGAUUUGGAUUGGAAAGCAAGGAGUACCUAGUCUUGGAGUGACUAGAAGUCUAUCGUUUUGCCGGGAGUCUGUCUUGCUAUGUACAGUCCGACUUCCGCGGCCGCUGCAGUAGUACAUUGUGUGACCAGUCAUGACCUAGGAUAAUAUUAUAGUGUUGGAAAAUGUUUAUAAUUGCGAAAAAUUUAUAAGUGAAUUUCAGGCUUGCUACGGGUUUCGGAACUACAAUUCCCAUUCCCUAGCGCCGGUCACAACCCUCGAUUUUGGGUCGUGACAGAUAUAGAUCAGAUGAAGCAUGCUUUCCUAUAGAGCGGAAAUAGGACUGAGUACGCAUCAGUGAUGAUCGUAGUAAAAGUAAGUGAUGAUUAUUUAUAUGUCUAAGGCGACGGUAUAUAGCUCACGGCAUAGACUUAAUGAGAAGAUUUGAGGUGACGGUACAUUGCUCACGGUCCAGACCCUGAUACAGAUCUGAGGCAACGGUACAUUUCUCACGGUCCAGACCCUGAUACAAAUCUGAGGCGACGGUACAAGGAUCACGGCCCAGAUACUGUAAAGUAAUAAGCGAAAGUCUGUAGCAACUGUACAAUGACUUUUAUGGAUUUUGAUUGAGGUUUAUUAGAAUAUAUAAAUAUAUGUAUUGAGAUUUAAG